rnacentral:ncRNA from 1 species
GCGUACACAGUGGAUGCCUAGGUAGUCAGAGGCGACGAAGGACGUGCUAAUCUGCGAAAAGCGUCGGCUAGCUGAUACGAAGCGUUAUUAACCGGCGAUAUCCGAAUGGGGAAACCCGAUACAUUUUUAUUGUAUCAUCAUUAAGUGAAUUCAUAACUUAAUGCAGCGAACCAAGAGAAUUGAAACAUCUUAGUAUCUUGAGGAAAAGAAAUCAACCGAGAUUCCCUUAGUAGUGGCGAGCGAAAAGGGAGAAGCCCAGAGCAAUUACAAUAUAUAUAUUAUAAGAAUAGUAUGGAAAGACUAGCAAUAAAGAGUGAUAGCCUCGUAUUUUAAAAUAUAUAAUAUUCGUAGCUCUUAUGAGUAAGACGAGACACGUGAUAUCUUGUUUGAAGACGGGGGGACCAUCCUCCAAGGCUAAAUACUCCUGACUAACCGAUAGUGAACUAGUACCGUGAGGGAAAGGUGAAAAGAACCCCGGCGAGGGGAGUGAAAUAGAACCUGAAACUGUGUACGU